UGGUGCCUACACCGCAGAGGACAGAAGGCCCGGGUACAACGGGAGUAGGACUAUCUGUACAGCCGGCAGGCGGAUCAGUGGCAGCUGCACCAGGAACAUCUACCCCUUCAACAUCGGCAGUUGGUGUGGCUACAGGUCCUUCUCGCAUCUGGAUAAUAGGGCACUCCUACGUGCACUGGGCGGCACUGAAGGCCCAUUCUCUUCCCGAGGGGCAGCAGUUGGGGAUUCCGACGUCUAAGGCAUCAAUACGGUGGUUGGGCCGUAGAGGCUUACAGUGGGAUGGUUUGCCUGCCCUCCUCCAGAAUGCCAGACAUAGAUGGGGACAGCCCCACAUCAUCCUCCUUCACAUGGGGGGAAAUGAUAUAGGGAGUGCACCUGCUCUGGAUCUCAUCAAUGCGAUGAGGUCAGAUGUCAGGUGGAUCUGUACCACGUUUCCGGGGGUUAGGUUGGCCUGGUCCAACAUAAUCCCCCGGCUGCGUUGGAGAUAUUUUCCCACACCGAGGAUAGCAUAUAGGGUUAGAAAAAAAGUUAACAGGGAGCUGGGUAGAGCAGUACUAGAGGUAGGGGGUUUUGUGGUCCGCCAUGAACUGAUCUCAGCGGACAAAAAAGGGCUGUAUCGCCCGGACGGGGUGCACCUGUCCGACGAAGGGCUGGCGAUCUUCCUGGCGGACCUCAAAACGGCUCUGGUUAGUAAUAUUUAGCGGGUGGCGGCAAGAGCCCGGCUUAUGUGGGAGUGCCUGUCUCUUGUGGCGGGAGGUCGUAGCCAUCAACAAUUGAGGGCGGAGUCUGUAGAGGUGACAGUCGGGCUAAUGGGCGGGGGUGAUGUCCUCAGGUCGUGACCUGGGGGGCCCCGCCCCGCGGGUCUGCUGGCUGAAGAUCCUUUAGGACGUCCGCGCCUAUUAGACGGAAUGGGGUGGGGCCACAUUUGUGCCCACCCUUGGCAUUUGCAAUUCCACAACAUCUGGCUGCGACUUCUUGUCAUAUGGAGCUAAUAGUUUACUAGGCCUCGAAUGCCGCCACACGUUAAAUAUUUGAAUGACUUCCGUUGAAGUCAAGUUAAUAAAUAUGACCAUCGUUAUGGUCUUUAAAUCCCA